UUUCCGUAGGUGAACCUGCGGAAGGAUCAUUACCGAGUGCGGGACCCCCAAGGUCCCAACCUCCCACCCGUGUCGUAACCGUACCUUUGUUGCUUUGGCGGGCCCACCUCGGGUCUUCCCCAGGUCGCCCGGGGGCACACCGCUCCCGGGCCCGCGCCCGCCAAAGACCCUCUUGAACUCUGGUUGAUUUAGGGAGUCUGAGUCCUUGAUAAUUAUUAAAACUUUCAACAACGGAUCUCUUGGUUCCGGCAUCGAUGAAGAACGCAGCGAAAUGCGAUAAGUAAUGUGAAUUGCAGAAUUCCGUGAAUCAUUGAAUCUUUGAACGCACAUUGCGCCCCCUGGCAUUCCGGGGGGCAUGCCUGUCCGAGCGUCAUUGCUAACCCUCAAGCUCGGCUUGUGUGUUGGGCCUCGUCCCCCCGGGGACGGGCCUGAAAGGCAGCGGCGGCGUCGCGUCCGGUCCUCGAGCGUAUGGGGCUCUGUCACCCGCUCAGGAGGCCGGCCGGGGCUCGCCAUCAACCCACAUCAUAACAAGGUUGACCUCGGAUCAGGUAGGGAUACCCGCUGAACUUAAGCAUAUCAAUAAGGCGG
rnacentral:rRNA from 1 species